GCUGAGCUGUCUUCGUCUCCAUCUCUUCCACACUCUUUUUCUCAAUUAUCAUUGGUUACGCCUAAUUGUGACGGAGGACCACCGAUAUAGGAUGGCUCGUUAGGAUCGCUUUGAUACCAGAGGGCGGUUACCACUUGAGACUUUAGUGAAUUGAAAGAGGGUGUCAAGUGAUGAGAGAGCGAUGGUGUUCCGGAAGUUUGAAGAUGUUUG
ensembl:ncRNA F55B12.15 ncRNA